AGCAAUAUGUUCUCAAUCCCUCAGGCAGAGCAGUGCAUUGCUCGGCUAAGGAAAUGUCCCCCCACUGAGCAAAUGGCAGAGCCACGGAACACAGGCAACUGUGAGCGCAUGCGCACAGAAGAUCACAGACACACGGCAGGAGGGGCGACGGGGAGGGACAGUGAGGAUGUUCCCGUCAAGCUUCACUUCACAGUGACAGGCAAACGAUCUCACGGUUUUUCUUUCUUUCCUUUUUUUCCUUCUCUAAUGAACUACCAUAGGCUGCUAAUCGCAUACAUCAUUAACACAAGUGGCCGGAGGUUGGCUGUGGGAUGGCUGGCAGAUCGGUCGCCGAAGCCCAAAACGGGGAAGGGACGGGACUGAACGCUCAGGAUCACGCAGAAGGGGCCUGUCUCGUGGUGCUUAGGUCCUGAACCGCACGGAGUGGACGGUCACAACAGUUCUCGUCGAGGCCCACGACAGACUGCUCGCUUGUAUUUUAUAUGGCUGUGCUGAGCACAUGAGCUAGCACACGGGAGAACAACCUCCUCGCACCUGCUGAUGGAGGGAGGAAGGCCAGCUCCCAGAGAAAACAAGCAGCGGUUAGAUUCCGGUUCAGCCGAACGAUGAAGGAUCGUGCAGCCGCUGAAAAUUAUAGUUUGGUUCUCUAGUGAGGAACGUUUCAAAAGUACCAGAAUGUAUCAACAGGAAAAAAAGCAGUAUUUUCCCCAUGUAAUAGGCCAUAAAUUCAAGUAAGAUCCUUGGACCAGAUCAAACAUUAUUUAUGUAGGAUCAGUGCCAGAUCUUUUUACUCAAAAGGGAUUUCGUGAAUCUGACAGUCUCACCGUAAGAGGUAUUUAUCCUAUAUUCUUUUAUAUUAGUGAAUAUUUGGUUAUUAUGAGAGAAUACUUAAUUCAUUUUUUGCCAAAGAUAAAUGUGUUUGAUAGCAUAUUUUUAAAAACAGGCUGUUAUAUUUCAGACUAGUUUUGAAUAUUUCUUCAGUUGGGUCAUGGAGACUGUGGUUUUUGAAU